rnacentral:rRNA from 1 species
CACGUAGGAUCCGAGCGUUAUCCGAAUUCACUGGGCGUAAAGCGCGUGCAGGCGGCCUGGUAAGUUGGAUGUGAAAUCUCCCGGCUCAACUGGGAGAGGACGUUCAAUACUGUCGGGCUAGAGGGCAGUAGAGGGAGGUGGAAUUCCCGGUGUAGUGGUGAAAUGCGUAGAUAUCGGGAGGAACACCAGUGGCGAAGGCGGCCUCCUGGGCUGCGCCUGACGCUCAGACGCGAAAGCUAGGGGAGCGAACGGG